rnacentral:rRNA from 1 species
CGAUGAAUCUUCUAGCUUGCUAGAAGUGGAUUAGUGGCGCACGGGUGAGUAAUGCAUAGGUUAUGUGCCCUUUAGUCUGGGAUAGCCACUGGAAACGGUGAUUAAUACUGGAUACUCCCUACGGGGGAAAGUUUUUCGCUAAAGGAUCAGCCUAUGUCCUAUCAGCUUGUUGGUGAGGUAAUGGCUCACCAAGGCUAUGACGGGUAUCCGGCCUGAGAGGGUGAUCGGACACACUGGAACUGAGACACGGUCCAGACUCCUACGGGAGGCAGCAGUAGGGAAUAUUGCUCAAUGGGGGAAACCCUGAAGCAGCAACGCCGCGUGGAGGAUGAAGGUUUUAGGAUUGUAAACUCCUUUUGUUAGAGAAGAUUAUGACGGUAUCUAACGAAUAAGCACCGGCUAACUCCGUGCCAGCAGCCGCGGUAAUACGGAGGGUGCAAGCGUUACUCGGAAUCACUGGGCGUAAAGAGUGCGUAGGCGGGGUAAUAAGUCAGAUGUGAAAUCCUGUAGCUUAACUACAGAACUGCAUUUGAAACUGUUACUCUGGAGUGUGGGAGAGGUAGGUGGAAUUCUUGGUGUAGGGGUAAAAUCCGUAGAGAUCAAGAGGAAUACUCAUUGCGAAGGCGACCUGCUGGAACAUUACUGACGCUGAUGCACGAAAGCGUGGGGAGCAAACAGGAUUAGAUACCCUGGUAGUCCACGCCCUAAACGAUGGAUGCUAGUUGUUGCCUUGCUUGUCAGGGCAGUAAUGCAGCUAACGCAUUAAGCAUCCCGCCUGGGGAGUACGGUCGCAAGAUUAAAACUCAAAGGAAUAGACGGGGACCCGCACAAGCGGUGGAGCAUGUGGUUUAAUUCGAAGAUACGCGAAGAACCUUACCUAGGCUUGACAUUG